UACGAAGGGGGCUAGCGUUGUUCGGAUUUACUGGGCGUAAAGCGCACGUAGGCGGUUUGUUGAGUCAGAGGUGAAAUCCCGGAGCUCAACUCCGGAACUGCCUUUGAUACUGGCAAGCUAGAGUCCGGAAGAGGUAAGUGGAACUCCUAGUGUAGAGGUGGAAUUCGUAGAUAUUAGGAAGAACACCAGUGGCGAAGGCGGCUUACUGGUCCGGAACUGACGCUGAGGUGCGAAAGCGUGGGGAGCAAGCAGG
rnacentral:rRNA from 1 species